GACCGGGUAGCUCAGUUGGCAGAGCAUUGGGCUAGUAUUCCAACGGUCGUAGGUUCGAUUCCCACCGUGGUCA
rnacentral:tRNA from 1 species